CACAGUCAUCCUUACCUGCCCAAGCUUAAUGUCCAUUUGGAACACUUCUUCCAAUCAAGUGUCCCUGACCUCCCUGUCAUGAGCAUUUAGGGUUAAAGUCGGAGGCAUUUAGGGUCAGGGUUAGACUGUCCUGCCUCCCAGAUCCCACCCCUGCUCCCCUGCCCCAGGCCUCCUGCUCCCCCAGCCCCACAUCUUUAAGAGCUCUCGGGUCCCACACAGGCGGCUGGAUCCCAGCCUGGGUUUUGUCUCCCAGUCUCGGGCUUUCCUUGGCUGCUCCAUUCCAGAGCCCUCCCCUUCCUCAGCCUUCCCUAACCUCCCUCCCUGCUAGAUCUAGCAGUCAGUCUAUUGUUUAAAUAAUGUGUGUUAAUUGAGGAGAGGGGAUGCAGGGAGGGCAGAGGAUCAGUUCCAGGGAGAGCUCUGUCUCAGGGGUCAUUGAGACUCUGACUGGUCUCAUCCUGUCUGGGAUCCCAAGCUUCAUCUUCCUCUGAGGGCUCUGUAGGAGGAUGGGGGAAAAGAGGGGUGCAGAAGAGAAGUAAGAGGAGGGAAGUAGUUUUCCUUUUGAGAUCAGCUUCAUUUCCUACCCUGACCCUCCCUGCUGCUUCCCUCCCUCUACAGGUUGGAGUCCUUUCCCUGAGGGCAAGGCCUGGGUCUUCCUAACUCCUAUGGGACCUUGCCCUCUGUAAAUUCCAGUUGGGCAGCCUCCUGCCUAUGAAGAGAGGAGAAAGAGCUCUUCUCUGGGAUCCGUCUCCCUCCCCAGCUCAGUCUGCAGAGGAACAAAACCUACCCCAAGAAGGGAGCCUGGAUUGAGAGAGAAUGGCUCCUGGGAGCAGCCAAGCCCCAGCCCAGCAAUACCAGGAUCUAAGACAUCUCCAAAAG